CCCUUCCGUAGGUGAACCUGCGGAAGGAUCAUUG
rnacentral:rRNA from 12 species